rnacentral:rRNA from 1 species
UGCGUAGGCGGGUCUUUAAGUCAGGGGUGAAAUCCUGGAGCUCAACUCCAGAACUGCCUUUGAUACUGAAGAUCUUGAGUCCGGGAGAGGUGAGUGGAACUGCGAGUGUAGAGGUGAAAUUCGUAGAUAUUCGCAAGAACACCAGUGGCGAAGGCGGCUCACUGGCCCGGUACUGACGCUGAGGCACGAAAGCGUGGGGAGCAAACA